AAAAAGUCAAACCCUGAAUUUCCGUGUCCAACUUUGACUGUCCAUUUUAUAUGAAAUUUUUUUAUAAUUCGUAUUUUCGUUGUUGUUAGAUGAUAAAAUAUGAUUAAUAUUUUAUGCGUGACUUGUCUUUUUA
rnacentral:pre_miRNA from 1 species